rnacentral:misc_RNA from 1 species
UCCAACUUAACGUUGGCAGUCUCAUUAGAGUGCCCAACUUAAUGCUGGCAACUAAUGAUAAGGGUUGCGCUCGUUGCGGGACUUAACCCAACAUCUCACGACACGAGCUGACGACAGCCAUGCAGCACCUGUCUCACUGUCCCUUUCGGGCCGUUCAUAUCUCUAUGAAAUUCAGUGGAUGCCAAACCCAGGUAAGGUUUUUCGCGUUGCAUCGAAUUAAACCACAUGCUCCACCGCUUGUGCGGGCCCCCGUCAAUUUCUUUGAGUUUUAAUCUUGCGACCGUACUCCCCAGGCGGGAUACUUAACGCGUUAGCUCCGGCACUGAAGGGGUCAAUACCUUCAACACCAAGUAUCCAUCGUUUACGGCGUGGACUAC